rnacentral:tRNA from 1 species
GGCGCCGUACCCAAGCGGUAAGGGAGAAGCCUGCAAAGCUUUCAUUCGGCGGUUCGAUCCCGUCCGGCGCCU